AUUGAACGCUGGCGGCAUGCCUUACACAUGCAAGUCGAACGGCAGCACGGGAGCAAUCCUGGUGGCGAGUGGCGAACGGGUGAGUAAAGCAUCGGAACGUGCCCAGUCGUGGGGGAUAACGUAGCGAAAGCUACGCUAAUACCGCAUACGAUCUGUGGAUGAAAGCGGGGGACCGUAAGGCCUCGCGCGAUUGGAGCGGCCGAUGUCAGAUUAGGUAGUUGGUGAGGUAAAGGCUCACCAAGCCGACGAUCUGUAGCUGGUCUGAGAGGACGGCCAGCCACACUGGGACUGAGACACGGCCCAGACUCCUACGGGAGGCAGCAGUGGGGAAUUUUGGACAAUGGGCGCAAGCCUGAUCCAGCAAUGCCGCGUGCAGGAUGAAGGCCUUCGGGUUGUAAACUGCUUUUGUACGGAGCGAAACGGCUUCCACUAAUACUGGGGGCUAAUGACGGUACCGUAAGAAUAAGCACCGGCUAACUACGUGCCAGCAGCCGCCGUAAGAC
rnacentral:rRNA from 1 species